UUGAACCCUGUGCUCCCAACACAAGAACUCCUCCAACAUCAUGAUAAAUACUCCUUCCCCUCCCGUCCUUGCUAAACUGUCGACCACAAAAUAGCAAAGGCCAUGCAAGCAAUCCCGCAUAACCUACUUCUCCACUCCCUCUCUGUCAUCCAACCGCAGAAACCCUCGUGGAUCCGAAUUUAUAUAGAAUGGAUUGAUGAGUCUCCUAGAGUCUGGGGUGGUCAAGCCUAUCACAUAUGAGAGAAGAUACCGUGUGGCAGAAUGACGUUCGCAAUGCUAUGGCAGAUCUACAGGCCAAAAAAAUAUAUAUAUACGGGAAGGGGGUGAGUGGAAGUAUAUCCUGAUGAGAAUGCAAGCGACCGGGCUACAUUGUGGCUACUUGUUGGCAUUCAGUUUCAUCUUCUCCACUACGCCUUGCCACUCCUGUUCCGGUUUGAGAGGAGAAGAGGAUACCCCAUGCCUGUGCAUAUUAUAUAGCUUUUCCAUUUGAUUCUAACAUUUAUUAUGCGUUUUAUAUAUAUACUCCCUUUAGAAAAGUGGCGGAUGUAUUGAUUUGGGAUGAACUAAUGACUCUAUAUUAUAUUACCAAAGGCAAAAAUCGCAUCUAGAUAACUUAGAGUGAAGAAUUAAAUCUUGUACGGUUUGUCAUAAUCUCUCAGGAGCUUAAUCACAACCGAAAUCUAGGGUAUUAGUAUUGGAAGUCAUACAGAAGCGACACGAUGCCGUUAAAAGUUAGAAAAAAAUAACAAAAGUUAAAAAAGCGGCGAGUUCCUCAAAUGAAAUGCCAGCAGAAACCCGUGGGGCACGGAAAGGGGGGGAAAAAAUACGUAAAAGGAGGGGAGAUUUAUGGGGAAUUGAGGCCUAAGGACGGAGCGAGCCAGUGGAAAUAGUUCUCCUCCUAAUUUAAUCCAACACCAUUAUUCCAGCUUGGAUUUUCAACCCUGGAGACUAUGUCAUUCAAACAUCGCUGCACAUCUUUACAUGACCAUCUGCAACGAGGAUCCGGAUCCAGCAUCCCUUGUAUACACUCUGUCAACUUUCUAAGGAUAUCAGCAGUGUCCUUCUCGUUCUCGCCCUUGAAUAUCCCUGAGCAGUCGACCUUGGCUGCGAAAUCAGAUGGCAAAGUUGGGACGAGACCAGAAGGCCUGCGCUGGUGAUGGUAGUCGUGCUGAUAAUGCUUCAUCCGCUUGUUGGGUGAACAGGUCAGAUCACACAGUGCCAUUUGACGCUCCAUUCGGGUCUCAAAUUUGUACAGCAGUUCAAACAAGAUGACGCCUAACGCAAAAACGUCUAGGCUUUCGUCGAUGUUGAGCAUCUUUCGUAUCUUACGAUUGCGUACCUCAUUGCCACCGUGGCCGUCGCCGUUGUCAUCAAUUUCGUGGUGUAUGCGAUGCCGUGAGGAGGAGCAACGCGAUGUGACGAUGGGGGGUCGAUAGAAUUCCGUACCAACAGGGCGAAUAGGGGUACCGGUAGAAUUGUACACGGAAUCGAAUAGCACUUCAUUUUUGUCUCCAAAUCGGGAUAUUUCCGCAACGAGGCCGAAAUCGCCGAUGCGAGGUGUCGUGUACCAUGUCCUUUCAAUGCCGGCUUUCUGGCAUGUUGGGCAAACUGGGUUGUCCUGCAAGCCAGCCGGAGAGAGGAAAAUAUUUGCAGGCUUCAGGUCACGAUGGACUAUCCCAGUAGUAUGCAGAUACUCAACUCCUGCCAAGACUCCUAGAAUGAUUUUGAGAGAGGGAACG
rnacentral:sRNA from 1 species